UCCAAACCAAAGAGACAUACAAGUUCAUUAAAGAUAAGAUUAUUGACAACAAAUGAACAAAUGCACAUUUACAGUAUUACAUGGAAAAUAAAGUAAACAUCAAAAGGGCAUGUAAAGAAAUUACAGGGCACAAAGGUUAAAUGUCACAAGGGCAUAUAGCUGCUUGACUUUUACAUUUCGUGGCCUUUAACAGGGUACUUGUUUGGAUGUUCAGUAAACUUACUACGAUUAGUAACCACUUUGAAGGUAGCACGACUAGUCUGUGAG
rnacentral:lncRNA from 1 species